rnacentral:rRNA from 1 species
GACAGAGGGUGCAACCGUUGUUCGGAAUUACUGGGCGUAAAGGGCUCGUAGGCGGCCAACUAAGUCAGACGUGAAAUCCCUCGGCUUAACCGGGGAACUGCGUCUGAUACUGGAUGGCUUGAGGUUGGGAGAGGGAUGCGGAAUUCCAGGUGUAGCGGUGAAAUGCGUAGAUAUCUGGAGGAACACCGGUGGCGAAGGCGGCAUCCUGGACCAAUUCUGACGCUGAGGAGCGAAAGCCAGGGGAGCAAACGGG